rnacentral:rRNA from 1 species
CAAAGGAAUUGACGGGGACCCGCACAAGUAGCGGAGCAUGUGGUUUAAUUCGAAGCAACGCGAAGAACCUUACCUAAGCUUGACAUCCCAUUGACCUCUCCCUAAUCGGAGAUUUCCCUUCGGGGACAAUGGUGACAGGUGGUGCAUGGUUGUCGUCAGCUCGUGUCGUGAGAUGUUGGGUUAAGUCCCGCAACGAGCGCAACCCUUGCCUUUAGUUGC